AGCUUAUAAAGAGCAUAGUAUUGAAGAUACUAAGGAAAUUUAGAAUUUUUAAAUAUAAU
rnacentral:tRNA from 1 species